rfam:Rhizoctonia solani isolate BBA 69670 genome assembly, contig: RSOLAG22IIIB_scaffold01256
GUCGGUAUAGCAAAGUGGUUACUGCGUUUGAUUUGAACAAGUUGCCUUGUCCUAAAUUAUCAAAUUCCCUCCGGGAGCGUAGGUUCGAACCCUACUGCCGACG